rnacentral:misc_RNA from 1 species
GAUGAAGAACGUAGCGAAAUGCGAUAAGUAAUGUGAAUUGCAGAAUUCAGUGAAUCAUCGAAUCUUUGAACGCAUCUUGCGCUCCUUGGUAUUCUGAGGAGCAUGCCUGUUUGAGUGUCAUUAAAUUCUCAACCGCACUGACUUUGAAUUGGUGUGGCUUGGAUUUGGGGGGAAAAUUGUUGUGGGCUUUUUUGUAUAGUCUGCUCCCCUGAAAUUGAUUAGCGGUACCUUUGUGGAACUGUCUACAGGUGUGAUAAUUAUCUACAUCCUAGACAUCUGCUGGAAUGCUGCUUUCUAAACCUUACUUGUAUUGACAAUCUUGACCUCACAUCAGGUAGGACUACCCGCUGAACUUAAGCAUAUCAAUAAGCGGAGGA